CAUAGGUUAAUGAGGCGAACCGGGGGAACUGAAACAUCUAAGUACCCCGAGGAAAAGAAAUCAACCGAGAUUCCCCCAGUAGCGGCGAGCGAACGGGGAGGAGCCCAGAGCCUGAAUCAGUGUGUGUGUUAGUGGAAGCGUCUGGAAAGGCGCGCGAUACAGGGUGACAGCCCCGUACACAAAAAUGCACAUAUUGUGAGCUCGAUGAGUAGGGCGGGACACGUGGUAUCCUGUCUGAAUAUGGGGGGACCAUCCUCCAAGGCUAAAUACUCCUGACUGACCGAUAGUGAACCAGUACCGUGAGGGAAAGGCGAAAAGAACCCCGGCGAGGGGAGUGAAAAAGAACCUGAAACCGUGUACGUACAAGCAGUGGGAGCCUCUUAAUGGGGUGACUGCGUACCUUUUGUAUAAUGGGUCAGCGACUUAUAUUCUGUAGCAAGGUUAACCGAAUAGGGGAGCCGAAGGGAAACCGAGUCUUAACUGGGCGUUAAGUUGCAGGGUAUAGACCCGAAACCCGGUGAUCUAGCCAUGGGCAGG
rnacentral:rRNA from 1 species